UUUGAUCUGCCAGCUCAACUAAUGAGCUCAGAUCCAAUGACUCACGCUUUUUCCUAUUUUUUAAAUUCUGAUUUUAAUUUCUUUUAUUUCUUUUAAUUCCAUUUUAUUUCUAAAAUUCAUAUCUCUCUCAUUAUUGGUCCAAAAAUUAUGGGACCAAUUUCAUUCUUCUCCUUUUAAUUUCUACUUUCUAAAAAUGAAUUUUAA
rnacentral:lncRNA from 1 species